CCUACGGGCGGCAGCAGUGGGGAAUAUUGGACAAUGGGGGCAACCCUGAUCCAGCCAUGCCGCGUGUGUGAAGAAGGCCCUCGGGUGGUAAAGCACUUUCAGUGAGGAAGAACGCCUGGUGGUUAAUACCCAUCAGGAAAGACAUCACUCACAGAAGAAGCACCGGCUAACUCCGUGCCAGCAGCCGCGGUAAUACGGAGGGUGCGAGCGUUAAUCGGAAUUACUGGGCGUAAAGCGCGCGUAGGUGGCUUGAUAAGCCGGUUGUGAAAGCCCCGGGCUCAACCUGGGAACGGCAUCCGGAACUGUCAAGCUAGAGUGCAGGAGAGGAAGGUAGAAUUCCCGGUGUAGCGGUGAAAUGCGUAGAGAUCGGGAGGAAUACCAGUGGCGAAGGCGGCCUUCUGGACUGACACUGACACUGAGGUGCGAAAGCGUGGGUAGCAAACAGGAUUAGAUACCCUUGUAGUC
rnacentral:rRNA from 1 species